rnacentral:rRNA from 1 species
GACGAACGCUGGCGGCGUGCUUAACACAUGCAAGUCGAACGGAAAGGCCCUGCCUUUGUGGGGUGCUCGAGUGGCGAACGGGUGAGUAACACGUGAGUAACCUGCCCUUGACUUUGGGAUAACUUCAGGAAACUGGGGCUAAUACCGGAUAGGAGCUCCUGCUGCAUGGUGGGGGUUGGAAAGUUUCGGCGGUUGGGGAUGGACUCGCGGCUUAUCAGCUUGUUGGUGGGGUAGUGGCUUACCAAGGCUUUGACGGGUAGCCGGCCUGAGAGGGUGACCGGCCACAUUGGGACUGAGAUACGGCCCAGACUCCUACGGGAGGCAGCAGUGGGGAAUAUUGCACAAUGGGCGGAAGCCUGAUGCAGCAACGCCGCGUGCGGGAUGAUGGCCUUCGGGUUGUAAACCGCUUUCGCCUGUGACGAAGCGUGAGUGACGGUAAUGGGUAAAGAAGCACCGGCUAACUACGUG